UUGCAAAUUAGUUGUAUAUAUUUCAUUUCAGUAGCACAUCACAUGAAUUACAAUACAUCAUCCAUCGACUCCUCUACACAUAAAGGUUCAAGGCCCAACAAGUGCACGACAAAAUAGUUCUACAAGUACAGGUGUACAGAAAAAGGACCCAACAAGUGCAUAAUCACACAUCAACAUAGUUCGACAAAGAUUGAAUGAGAAGCACAAGUUUUUGUUGAUCACACAUAACAUCAAUGAUAAACAAAUCUUCUUGUUCCCUCCUCCCGUCCUGUCCUCUACUUCUUCUGGGUGCU
rnacentral:lncRNA from 1 species